AAUAGUAAAACGAUGGGGUAUUUCGAGAGUAGAUGGGGUAUUUCGAGGGUCUUAAAAGCUUGGUUAAAGCUGAAGAUACAAAUGUGUAUUUAUAGAUGAAAACAAGAUAAGAUUUGGGCGGAAUUUUUGAUUUUUCUCAAACUUCUUCCACACUUUGAAUCUGAACGUUGACAAUAAUGGACGAACUGUGAGCCUUCAUCUGAUUUGAACAGUAACAACCAGACACGCUUCAAACUAUACGUGAAAUAGGAAAGCUUUUACUGUUCCUUUGAUAAUGGACAUCAUUGUAACAUAAAAUGGGAAGAGGGGGAUGAAGACACAUCUGUAGCUUCCAAAAUUUGCACAAAAAUGGUGCCUUAAGCAUAUGUAAAAUGAAGAAAUUGGACAUCGUUGAAACAUAAAAUGGGAAAAGGGGGAUGAAGACGCAUCUGUACCUUCAAAAAUUUGCACAAAAAUAGUGCCUUAAGCAUCUUUAAAAUGGAGAAAGCAUUUGAAAAUUUUACCUGAAGAGAAAAAGGAACAACGGCGCCACA
rnacentral:lncRNA from 1 species